rnacentral:rRNA from 1 species
UACGGAGGGAGCUAGCGUUGUUCGGAUAUACUGGGCGUAAAGCGCACGUAGGCGGCGCCGUAAGUCAGGGGUGAAAUCCCGGAGCUCAACUCCGGAACUGCCCUUGAAACUGCAGUGCUAGAAUCCUGGAGAGGCGAGUGGAAUUCCGAGUGUAGAGGUGAAAUUCGUAGAUAUUCGGAAGAACACCAGUGGCGAAGGCGGCUCACUGGUCCGGUACUGACGCUGAGGUGCGAAAGCGUGGGGAGCAAACAGG